UGGGGUUGCGAUCACCCCACGAGGCGACAUGCUGAAGAAUCGC
rnacentral:ncRNA from 1 species